rnacentral:rRNA from 1 species
AUGGGUGUCACUGGUUUGGUGUUGGUGUUGUCUUUGUCGGUUAUGGUGGUAUCCAGCAAAGACUGGAUCGUUGGCGAUGGGAAGGGAUGGACCUUCGGUGUAUCUGGUUGGGAAAAGGGUAAGAUAUUUGUUAGAGAUGACUACCUCAUCUUCAACUAUAAACCAAAGAUGCACAAUGUUUUGGAGGUUGCCACAUCCGAGUACAAGGCGUGCGACAUCAACGCCAUCCCCUCUAGAAACUUUACCUCGGGACAUGACCGUGUCCAGCUCGUUGGUGUUGUGGCCUCCUACAUAUGCGGCACUCCCGGACACUGCGGUAGGGGUAUGAAGAUCCACAUGGCCAUCGAAGAUAAGGAAUGA